rnacentral:rRNA from 1 species
UGCAUCGGAACGUGCCCGGUAGUGGGGGAUAACUCGGCGAAAGUCGAGCUAAUACCGCAUACGUACCGAGGUAGAAAGCGGGGGACCUGCAAGGGCCUCGCGCUAUCGGAGCGGCCGAUGUCGGAUUAGCUUGUUGGUGGGGUAAUGGCCUACCAAGGCGACGAUCCGUAACUGGUCUGAGAGGACGACCAGUCACACUGGGACUGAGACACGGCCCAGG